CCUACGGGAGGCAGCAGUGGGGAAUAUUGGACAAUGGGCGAAAGCCUGAUCCAGCAAUUCCGCGUGUGUGAAGAAGGCCUUCGGGUUGUAAAGCACUUUAGUUGGGGAAGAAACAGCUUGGCCACACCAAGCCUUGACGGUACCCAAAGAAUAAGCACCGGCUAACUCUGUGCCAGCAGCCGCGGUAAUACAGAGGGUGCAAGCGUUAAUCGGAUUUACUGGGCGUAAAGGGUGCGUAGGUGGUUUUGUAAGUCGGAUGUGAAAGCCUGGGGCUCAACCUCAGAAUUGCACUCGAUACUGCAAGACUAGAGUUCGGUAGAGGGCGGCGGAAUUCCCGGUGUAGCGGUGAAAUGCGUAGAUAUCGGGAGGAACAUCAAUGGCGAAGGCAGCCGCCUGGGCCUGAACUGACACUGAGGCACGAAAGCGUGGGUAGCAAACAGGAUUAGAUACCCUGGUAGUCCACGCUGUAAACGAUGAGAACUUGACGUUGGUUCGUUUUACGAAUCGGUGUCGCNNCUACGCGAUAGUUCGUCCGUCCGUCGGGAGGUACGGCCGCGAGGUAGAACGUACGAAGAGUAGUAGACGNGUGAGACGCGACGACGACGACGACGGAGGAGGAG
rnacentral:rRNA from 1 species